rnacentral:rRNA from 1 species
GAUGAACGCUGGCGGCGUGCAUAACACAUGCAAGUCGAGCGAUUCUCUUCGGAGAAGAGCGGCGGACGGGUGAGUAACGCGUGGGUAACCUGCCCUGUACACACGGAUAACAUACCGAAAGGUAUGCUAAUACGGGAUAAUGUGCUUUUAUCGCAUGGUAGAAGUAUCAAAGCUCCGGCGGUACAGGAUGGACCCGCGUCUGAUUAGCUAGUUGGUAAGGUAACGGCUUACCAAGGCGACGAUCAGUAGCCGACCUGAGAGGGUGAUCGGCCACAUUGGAACUGAGACACAGUCCAAACUCCUACGGGAGGCAGCAGUGGGGAAUAUUGCACAAUGGGCGAAAGCCUGAUGCAGCAACGCCGCGUGAGCGAUGAAGGCCUUCGGGUCGUAAAGCUCUGUCCUCAAGGAAGAUAAUGACGGUACUUGAGGAGGAAGCCCCGGCUAACUACGUGCCAGCCGCCGCGGUAACAC